rnacentral:rRNA from 1 species
GAUGAACGCUGGCGGCGUGCCUAAUACAUGCAAGUCGAGCGAACAGACGAGGAGCUUGCUCCUCUGACGUUAGCGGCGGACGGGUGAGUAACACGUGGAUAACCUACCUAUAAGACUGGGAUAACUUCGGGAAACCGGAGCUAAUACCGGAUAAUAUAUUGAACCGCAUGGUUCAAUAGUGAAAGACGGUUUUGCUGUCACUUAUAAAUGGAUCCGCGCCGCAUUAGCUAGUUGGUAAGGUAACGGCUUACCAAGGCAACGAUGCGUAGCCGACCGGGGGGGGGGACCGGCCACACUGGAACUGGACCACGGUCAAGACUCCUACGGGAGGCAGCAGUAGGGAAUCUUCCGCAAUGGGCGAAAGCUUGACGGAGAAACGCCGCGUGAGUGAUGAAGGUCUUCGGAUCGUAAAACUCUGUUAUUAGGGAAGAACAAAUGUGUAAGUAACUAUGCACGUCUUGACGGUACCUAAUCAGAAAGCCACGGCUAACUACGUG